rnacentral:rRNA from 1 species
UACGUAGGGGGCAAGCGUUGUCCGGAUUUAUUGGGCGUAAAGAGCGUGUAGGCGGCCAGACAGGUCCGUUGUGAAAACUCGAGGCUCAACCUCGAGAUGUCGAUGGAAACCGUCUGGCUAGAGUCCGGAAGAGGAGUGUGGAAUUCCUGGUGUAGCGGUGAAAUGCGCAGAUAUCAGGAAGAACGCCUAUGGCGAAGGCAGCACUCUGGGACGGUACUGACGCUGAGACGCGAAAGCGUGGGGAGCGAACAGG